UACGGGAGGCAGCAGUGGGGAAUAUUGCACAAUGGGCGCAAGCCUGAUGCAGCCAUGCCGCGUGUAUGAAGAAGGCCUUCGGGUUGUAAAGUACUUUCAGUCGUGAGGAAGGUGUUAAGGUUAAUAACCUUAGCAAUUGACGUUAGCGACAGAAGAAGCACCGGCUAACUCCGUGCCAGCAGCCGCGGUAAUACGGAGGGUGCGAGCGUUAAUCGGAAUUACUGGGCGUAAAGGGCACGCAGGCGGUUAAUUAAGUUGGAUGUGAAAUCCCCGGGCUUAACCUGGGAAUGGCAUUCAAGACUGGUUAGCUAGAGUCUUGUAGAGGGGGUAGAAUUCCAUGUGUAGCGGUGAAAUGCGUAGAGAUGUGGAGGAAUACCGGUGGCGAAGGCGGCCCCUGGACAAAGACUGACGCUCAUGUGCGAAAGCGUGGGGAGCAACAGGGAUUAGAUA
rnacentral:rRNA from 1 species